CCCUCAGGAUAGCUGGAACUUAUGAAGAAGUAGUUUUAUCAGGUAAAGCGAAUGAUUAGAGGCUUUGGGGAAGAAACUUCCUCGACCUAUUCUCAAACUUUUAAAUAGGUAAGAUUUUGAAGGAUACUUAGGUGAUCUUUCAAUAUUUUGAAUAUAAAGUUCUUAGUGGGCCAUUUUUGGUAAGCAGAACUGGCGAUGUGGGAUGAACCGAACGUUAAGUUAAAGUGCCAAAUAAUACGCUCAUGAGAUACCAUAAAAGGUGUUGGUUCAUUUUGACAGCAGGACGGUGGCCAUGGAAGUCGGAACCCGCUAAGGAGUGUGUAACAACUCACCUGCCGAAUGAACUAGCCCUGAAAAUGGAUGGCGCUUAAGCGUAUAACUUAUACUUAACCCCUUAUCUGAAUUAUUAUAGCGGGUAAGGAGUAGGAGGGC
rnacentral:rRNA from 1 species